GACGAACGCUGGCGGCGUGCUUAACACAUGCAAGUCGAACGGGUCUGCCCUGUUUUUUGCGGGGUGGGUCAGUGGCGAACGGGUGAGUAACACGUGAGUAACCUGCCCCUCACUUCUGGAUAACCGCUUGAAAGGGUGGCUAAUGCGGGGUGUUCUGGCUGUGCCGCAUGGUGUGGCUGGGAAAGAUUCACUUUUGUGGUGUUUUGGUGGGGGAUGGGCUCGCGGCCUAUCAGCUUGUUGGUGGGGUGAUGGCCUGCCAAGGCUUUGACGGGUAGCCGGCCUGAGAGGGUGGGCGGUCACACUGGGACUGAGAUACGGCCCAGACUCCUGCGGGAGGCAGCAGUGGGGGGUAUUGCACAAUGGGCGGAAGCCUGAUGCAGCGACGUCGCGGGAGGGAUGGAGGCCUUCGGGUUGUGAACCUCUUUCGCCGGUGAAGAAGGUCCUGCUCUUUGUGGUGGGGUUGACGGUAGCCGGGUUAUGAAGCGCCGGCUAACUACGUG
rnacentral:rRNA from 1 species